GAUGAACGCUAGCGGCAGGCCUAACACAUGCAAGUCGAGGGGCAGCACAGAAACAGCAAUGUUUUGGUGGCGACCGGCGGGCGGGUGCGUAACGCGUAUGCAACCUACCUUUAACAGGGGGAUAACGGAGAGAAAUUUCCACUAAUACCCCAUAACAUCGAUCAAGGCAUCUUGAUUGGUUGAAAACUCCGGUGGUUAAAGAUGGGCAUGCGUUGUAUUAGGUAGUUGGUGAGGUAAUGGCUCACCAAGCCUACGAUACAUAGGGGGACUGAGAGGUUAGCCCCCCACACUGGUACUGCGACAAGGACCAGACUCCUACGGGAGGCAGCAGUGAGGAAUAUUGGUCAAUGGGGGCAACCCUGAACCAGCCAUGCCGCGUGCAGGAAGACGGCUCUAUGAGUUGUAAACUGCUUUUAAACAGGGAUAAAGCACAGUAUGUAUACUGUGUUGAAGGUACUGUAAGACUAAGGAUCGGCUAACUCCGUGCCAGCCGCCGCGGUAA
rnacentral:rRNA from 1 species